rnacentral:tRNA from 1 species
GCGUCGGUGGUUCAGUGGUAGAAUACUCGCCUGCCACGCGGGUGACCCAGGUUCGAUUCCUGGCCGACGCA